UCGGGAAUUUUGGGCAAUGGGCGAAAGCCUGACCCAGCAACGCCGCGUGGAUGAUGAAGGCCUUAGGGUUGUAAAAUCCUUUCGUGGGGGACGAUAAUGACGGUACCCCAAGAAGAAGCUCCGGCUAACUUCGUGCCAGCAGCCACGGUAAUACGAAGGGGGCUAGCGUUGUUCGGAUUUACUGGGCGUAAAGCGCGUGUAGGCGGGUCGUUAAGUUGGGGGUGAAAUCCCGAGGCUCAACCUCGGAACUGCCUUCAAAACUGGCGACCUGGACUCAAGCAGAGGCAAGUGGAAUUGCGAGUGUAGAGGUGAAAUGCGUAGAUAUCAAGAGGAACACCUGAGGUGAAGACGGGUUGCUGGGCUGACACUGACGCUGAGGCGCGAAAGCCAGGGGAGCAAACGGGAUUAGAUACCCGUGUAGUCCCUGAGCGGGCUGGCAAGGCGCAU
rnacentral:rRNA from 1 species